AGCUUGUUUGUUUGGGGUUUGUUUUGUCUACAUAGGAGUAGAAAGUACAGAAAUGACACAACCUAAUUUAAAAAAACCCACACUACAUAUGCUGCAUGUCCUGAUGGAAGUGUCAUAGUCUGUCUCUGACUUGAUGUGAAUGAAGAAACAGCAGUGGAACAGUGAGGAACCGAUGGAACAGUGAGAAGCAAUGCAGUAGCUAAUAGUGGGAGGAAGGAGUAGAACUUCCUUUCUACCCUUCUUGCAAAGCUGCCCUUGUAAAAACAAAAGAGAAUCUUCCCCUUUGUGACACAGUUAUAUAGCCCCCUGCUAUUCUUGAAAGCAGCCUGCCUAAACAAGAUAAGAUUUGAAACCAGUCUGACAAACAAGUCACCCUAGAUACUGCUGCCUGAGCCUUGGCCACAGGAAUGUCAGCCUGAUUCACACUGCCUUCAGCCCUCUGAGCGUUUCCUGGUUCAGAGAGACCAAGCAGCCACGUUCUGGCAGUUUCAAUGGGAAGUGUCAGCCUGUUUCCAGUGCUUUCAAAAGACAUUCCAUCAUUUCAUGAAUCACAUCAUUGUGUGGAACCUCUGAGAUAAUAAGACUCCGAACAUCAUCUCACAACACCAUUUGGAUCAAAGACAGGGAAGCAUAUGUGCAUUCUUUUCUACACAGAUUUUGCAGGGGAAGUCAGGAAAAUCCUGCUGGCUGUAAGACUUUUCUUAGCUUCAUUUGCAAAAGGCUGCAUGCCACUAGCAGAGGACAAGAUGGAACUGAUCCUGGAGGAAAUUACAGUAGAUUUCUGCCAUCCAGAGCAAGGAUGACUCAGGGCAUUGGCACAGUGGAACUGGGAAACACAUCUUUGUAGGGACUGGAAUUAUACAGCUAAGUCAAAACCAAGAUAUAGAUAUCGC
rnacentral:lncRNA from 1 species